GACGUAGGGCGCGAGCGUUGUCCGGAUUUAUUGGGCGUAAAGAGCUCGUAGGCGGCUCGUUGCGUCGGCUGUGAAAACCCCGCGGCUCAACCGUGGGCUUGCAGCUGAUACGGGCGGGCUGGAGUUCGGUAGGGGAGACUGGAAUUCCUGGUGUAGCGGUGAAAUGCGCAGAUAUCAGGAGGAACACCGGUGGCGAAGGCGGGUCUCUGGGCCGAUACUGACGCUGAGAAGCGAAAGCAUGGGGAGCGAACAGG
rnacentral:rRNA from 1 species